GGCCCUACGGGGCGCAGCAGGCGCGAAAACUUUACAAUGCGGGCAACCGUGAUAAGGGAACCUCGAGUGCCUGUAAAUGCAGGCUGUUCAGAUGCCUAAAACACAUCUGGAGAAAGGGCCGGGCAAGACCGGUGCCAGCCGCCGCGGUAAUACCGGCGGCUCGAGUGGUGGCCACUUUUAUUGGGCUUAAAGCGUUCGUAGCUGGGUUGUUAAGUCUCUUGGGAAAUCUGGCGGCUUAACCGUCAGGCGUCUAAGGGAUACUGGCAAUCUUGGAACCGGGAGAGGUGAGGGGUACUUCGGGGGUAGGAGUGAAAUCCUGUAAUCCUCGAGGGACCACCUGUGGCGAAGGCGCCUCACCAGAACGGCUUCGACAGUGAGGGACGAAAGCUGGGGGAGCAAACCGGAUUAGAUACCCGGGUAGUCCCAGCCGUAAACUAUGCGCGUUAGGUGUAUCGGUGACCACGAGUUACCGAGGUGCCGAAGGGAAACCGUGAAACGUGCCGCCUGGGAAGUACGGUCGCAAGGCUGAAACUUAAAGGAAUUGGCGGGGGAGCACCACAACAGGUGGAGCCUGCGGUUUAAUUGGACUCAACGCCGGGAAGCUCACCG
rnacentral:rRNA from 1 species